GUGCUUGCUUUGGCAGCACGGGCUAAAAUUGGAAUGAAACAGAAAAGAUUAGCAUGGCCCAUGAGCAAGGAUGACACACACAUUUGGGAAGCAUUCCAUAUUAUU
rnacentral:snRNA from 1 species